UACGUAGGGGGCAAGCGUUAUCCGGAUUUACUGGGUGUAAAGGGAGCGCAGGCGGCGUGGCAAGUCAGAUGUGAAAACCCGGGGCCCAACCCCGGGAGUGCAUUUGAAACUGCCAUGCUGGAGUGCCGGAGAAGUAUGCGGAAUGCGCGGUGUAGCGGUGAAAUGCAUAGAUAUCGCGCAGAACUCCGAUUGCGAAGGCAGCAUGCCGGCUCCACACUGACGCUGAGGCACGAAAGCGUGGGUAUCGAACAGG
rnacentral:rRNA from 1 species